UGAGGGAGGAACCAUCAUGCGAAGCAUGAUUUUAAAUGGUUCCGACCGACUUGCCGCCGAAGCUUUAGCUGAGGGGGCGAUACAUAUU
rnacentral:sRNA from 1 species